rnacentral:rRNA from 1 species
AUUGAACGCUGGCGGCAUGCCUUACACAUGCAAGUCGAACGGCAGCGGGGGAGAAGCUUGCUUUUCCUGCCGGCGAGUGGCGAACGGGUGAGUAAUACAUCGGAACGUGCCCUGUAGUGGGGGAUAACUAGUCGAAAGAUUAGCGAAUACCGCAUACGACCUGAGGGUGAAAGUGGGGGACCGCAAGGCCUCAUGCUAUAGGAGCGGCCGAUGUCUGAUUAGCUAGUUGGUGGGGUAAAGGCCUACCAAGGCGACGAUCAGUAGCUGGUCUGAGGGGACGAUCAGCCACAGUGGGACUGAGACACGGCCCAGACUCCUACGGGAGGCAGCAGUGGGGAAUUUUGGACAAUGGGCGAAAGCCUGAUCCAGCAAUGCCGCGUGUGUGAAGAAGGCCUUCGGGUUGUAAAGCACUUUUGUCCGGAAAGAAAUGGCUCUGGUUAAUACCUGGGGUCGAUGACGGUACCGGAAGAAUAAGGACCGGCUAACUACGUGCCAGCAGCCGCGGUAA